rnacentral:lncRNA from 1 species
UGUGUACAUGAUGGGGAAGGGAGACAUUGCCAAGGAGGCCUUUUUCGACAAUUCACGAGGAAGUGGUUUGUUGGCGGAGGCACGAUCUGGCGUGCUACGUACUCGACACUGGAGGGCACACUAUGUUGACGGGCAGCAGACUCAAUGCAUCCUUUGCAAUGCAGCAGAGGAAACAAUCGAACACAUAGUCCUCCAGUGUCCGAAGAUCCACCCACCCUCCGGGACAACUUCGCUACAGACGGCACUCGGUUUUGUCGAGGGAGAAGACCAGCGUAAAGGCGCCAGAACACAUGUGGAGCUAACCAAACAACGGUUGGAGCACUGGUGGCGGUAUGGUGCGCCGCGGUGACUCUCGUGCCCAUGUUUCCGGGAAUGUCUUGGAGCCGCGAUGCUCUGAAAUACGUUUCUUUUUUUUUUUUUUUUUUUUCCCAGGCUACGCCGCGCAUUGAGCGCAGGCGACCCGAUUCAAAGGGUAUAGCCAGAUCAUCAUCGCCAUCGCCAUCGUGUUUGGAGUUCGGAUAGAUCAGACUCUUCGUUGGCCUCGUUUUUAGGUGUUUGAUCCGUGACGUUUCGUCGAAAAAUCACAAGCGCGCAUGCCGUAGGUGUUUGCCUGGUUGCAAGAUCUUGCCGAUUUCAACGUUUUUCCACCUCUUCGGUUGGCGUACGCUGAACUGGACCCUCGCAGCAAGAAUGGCACGUGGGAAUUGACACCGCGAUCGUGGAACACAUGGCUGAUCUGCCUCGAAUAACUGCA